rnacentral:rRNA from 1 species
GAUGAACGCUGGCGGCGUGCCUAAUACAUGCAAGUCGAGCGAACAGACGAGGAGCUUGCUCCUCUGACGUUAGCGGCGGACGGGUGAGUAACACGUGGAUAACCUACCUAUAAGACUGGGAUCACUUCGGGAAACCGGAGCUAAUACCGGAUAAUAUAUUGAACCGCAUGGUUCAAUAGUGAAAGACGGUUUUGCUUUCACUUAUAGAUGGAUCCGCGCCGCAUUAGCUAGCUGGUAAGGUAACGGCUUACCAAGGCAACGAUGAGUAGCCGACCUGAGAGGGUGAUAGGCCACACUGGAACUGAGACACGGUCCAGACUCCUACGGGAGGCAGCAGUAGGGAAUCUUCCGCAAUGGGCGAAAGCUUGACGGAGCAACGCCGCGUGAGUGAUGAAGGUCUUCGGAUCGUAAAACUCUGUUAUUAGGGAAGAACAAAUGUGUAAGUAACUAUGCACGUCUUGACGGUACCUAAUCAGAAAGCCACGGCUAACUACGUG